rnacentral:rRNA from 1 species
UACGUAGGGUGCGAGCGUUGUCCGGAUUUAUUGGGCGUAAAGAGCUCGUAGGCGGUUUGUCGCGUCGGCCGUGAAAUCUCCACGCUUAACGUGGAGCGUGCGGUCGAUACGGGCAGACUUGAGUUCGGUAGGGGAGACUGGAAUUCCUGGUGUAGCGGUGAAAUGCGCAGAUAUCAGGAGGAACACCGGUGGCGAAGGCGGGUCUCUGGGCCGAUACUGACGCUGGAGGAGCGAAAGCGUGGGGAGCGAACAGGA